UGUCUUUUUGAAAAUAAUAUAAAGUCUAAUCUGCCCACUGAUAAAUAUUAAAGGGCUGCAGUAUAUUGACUGUACAAAGGUAGCAUAAUCAUUAGUCAUUUAAUUGAUGACUUGUAUGAAAGAUUGGAUGAAAUAUAAACUGUCUCUUAAUUAUAAAUAGAAUUUAAUUUUUUUAUCAAAAAGUUAAAAUAAUUUAAAAAGACGAGAAGACCCUAUAGAGUUUUAUAGUUAAAGUAAUUAAUAUUAUUUGUUAAAUUAAAGUUGAAAUUAUUUUAUUUAUUAUAUUGGGGUGAUAAAAAAAUAUAUAUAACUUUUUUUAAAUAAAAACAUUUAUAAGUGAUUAAUUGAUCCAAUAUUAUUGAUUAUAAGAAAAAAUUACCUUAGGGAUAACAGCGUAAUUUUUUUUUUUAGUUCAUAUAAUAAAAAGAGUUUGCGACCUCGAUGUUGGAUUAAGAUAAAAUUUAAAUGCAGAAG
rnacentral:rRNA from 1 species